GCCCAAUUUCUCCACCUGUCCUAAGAACUAACAAGUAAUAGUAAGUAAAAUGACAAGGGCUUAGGCCCAAUAAUAACAAAUACAAUUUCGAAUAAAUAAAGGUGGGCUUUGGCCCAAUCUUUUUCAACUCCCGAUUUGCUCCGCUUUUCUUUCAAUUUCGGGACCUGUUCGUCGAUUUUAAUAUCUGGAUGACUCCGAUAAAAGGGAAUAUGGGCCUUUGUGGCCC
rnacentral:lncRNA from 1 species